rnacentral:rRNA from 1 species
UACGGAGGGUGCGAGCGUUGUUCGGAAUCACUGGGCGUAAAGGGUGCGUAGGCGGCAGUGUAAGUCGGGUGUGAAAGCCCGGGGCUCAACCCCGGAACUGCGCCCGAAACUACACAGCUUGAGUCCGGAAGAGGGUUGCGGAAUUACCGGUGUAGAGGUGAAAUUCGUAGAUAUCGGUAAGAACAUCUGCGGCGAAGGCGGCAACCUGGUUCGAGACUGACGCUGAGGUACGAAAGCGUGGGGAGCAAAC